AGUGAACGCCGGCGGCGUGCUUAACACAUGCAAGUCGAACGAGAACGGAUUAUAGCUUGCUAUAAUUGUCAGCUAAGUGGCGCACGGGUGAGUAAUGUAUAGGUAAUAUGCCUCUUACUAAGGGAUAACAAAUGGAAACGUUUGCUAAUACCUUAUACUCCUUAUUAACAGAAGUUAAUAAGGGAAAGAUUUAUUGGUAAGAGAUUAGCCUGUAUUGUAUCAGUUAGUUGGUGGGGUAAUGGCUUACCAAGACUAUGACACAUAACUGGUUUGGGAGGAUGAUCAGUCACACUGGAACUGAGACACGGUCCAGACUCCUACGGGAGGCAGCAGUGGGGAAUAUUGCACAAUGGACGGAAGUCUGAUGGGGCAACGCCGCGUGCAGGAUGAAAGCCUUCGGGUUGUAAACUGCUUUUAUGAGUGAAGAUAAUGACAGUAACUCAAGAAUAAGGGACGGCUAACUACGUGCCAGCCGCCGCCGUAA
rnacentral:rRNA from 1 species